rnacentral:rRNA from 1 species
UACGGGGGGGGCAAGCGUUGUUCGGAAUUACUGGGCGUAAAGGGCUCGUAGGCGGCCAACUAAGUCAGACGUGAAAUCCCCGGGCUCAACCCGGGAACUGCGUCCGAUACUGGAAGGCUUGAAUCCGGGAGAGGGAUGUGGAAUUCCAGGUGUAGCGGUGAAAUGCGUAGAUAUCUGGAGGAACACCGGUGGCGAAGGCGGCAUCCUGGACCGAUAUUGACGCUGAUGCGCGAAAGCCAGGGGAGCAAACGGG